AUCCUGCUGACGAGUCCCAAAAUAGAAUGAAAUGCUCUUCCUGGAU
rnacentral:hammerhead_ribozyme from 1 species